rnacentral:rRNA from 1 species
ACCAGACUCCUACGGGAGGCAGCAGUGGGGAAUAUUGGGCAAUGGGCGCAAGCCUGACCCAGCAACGCCGCGUGAAGGAAGAAGGCUUUCGGGUUGUAAACUUCUUUUCUGAGGGACGAAGGAAGUGACGGUACCUCAGGAAUAAGCCACGGCUAACUACGUGCCAGCAGCCGCGGUAAUACGUAGGUGGCAAGCGUUAUCCGGAUUUAUUGGGUGUAAAGGGCGUGUAGGCGGGAAUGCAAGUCAGAUGUGAAAACUAUGGGCUCAACCCAUAGCCUGCAUUUGAAACUGUAUUUCUUGAGUGCUGGAGAGGUAAGCGGAAUUCCUAGUGUAGCGGUGAAAUGCGUAGAUAUUAGGAGGAACACCAGUGGCGAAGGCGGCUUACUGGACAGUAACUGACGUUGAGGCUCGAAAGCGUGGGGAGCAAACAGGAUUAGAUACCCCAGUA